GUGGCACUUCAGUGCUCGCUGUGGCAGCACAUACACUAAAAUUGGAACGAUACAGAGAUUAGCAUAGCCCCUGUGCAAGGA
rnacentral:snRNA from 1 species